rnacentral:misc_RNA from 1 species
GAUGAAGAACGUAGCAAAAUGCGAUAAGUAAUGUGAAUUGCAGAAUUCAGUGAAUCAUCGAAUCUUUGAACGCAUCUUGCGCUCCUUGGUAUUCCGAGGAGCAUGCCUGUUUGAGUGUCAUUUUAACUUCUCAACCAUAUCGAAUUGUUUUUCGAGGUGGCUUGGACAUGGGGGUUUUUGCAGGCUUUAAUAAUGAAGUCGGCUCCUCUGAAAUGCAUUAGUGGUAUCUGAAGCAGAACUGCUACUAUUAGGUGUGAUAAUUAUCUAUGCCUCUUGGUAUACUGCAUGAACAGAUUGCGCUGCUUCCAACUUGUACACCCUUUGGUGUUUGACAAAUUUGACCUCAAAUCAGGUAGGACUACCCGCUGAACUUAAGCAUAUCAAUAAGCGGAGGA